rnacentral:rRNA from 1 species
CGUUAGCGGCGGACGGGUGAGUAACACGUGGAUAACCUACCUAUAAGACUGGGAUAACUUCGGGAAACCGGAGCUAAUACCGGAUAAUAUAUUGAACCGCAUUGUUCAAUAGUGAAAGACGGUUUUGCUGUCACUUAUAGAUGGAUCCGCGCCGCAUUAGCUAGUUGGUAAGGUAACGGCUUACCAAGGCAACGAUGCGUAGCCGACCUGAGAGGGUUAUCGGCCACACUGGAACUGAGACACGGUCCAGACUCCUACGGGAGGCAGCAGGGG